rnacentral:rRNA from 1 species
CGGAAGGCCCCUUCGGGGGUACUCGAGCGGCGAACGGGUGAGUAACACGUGAGCAACCUGCCCCCGACUCUGGGAUAAGCCCGGGAAACCAGGUCUAAUACCGGAUACGACCAUCUCUCUCCUGAGACGAUGGUGGAAAGAUUCAUCGGUUGGGGAUGGGCUCGCGGCCUAUCAGCUUGUUGGUGGGGUAACGGCCUACCAAGGCGACGACGGGUAACCGGCCUGAGAGGGCGACCGGUCACACUGGGACUGAGACACGGCCCAGACUCCUACGGGAGGCAGCAGUGGGGAAUAUUGCGCAAUGGGCGGAAGCCUGACGCAGCGACGCCGCGUGAGGGAUGACGGCCUUCGGGUUGUAAACCUCUUUCAGCAGGGACGAAGCGCAAGUGACGGUACCUGCAGAAGAAGCGCCGGCUAACUACGUGCCAGCAGCCGCGGUAAUACGUAGGGCGCAAGCGUUGUCCGGAAUUAUUGGGCGUAAAGAGCUCGUAGGCGGUUUGUCGCGUCUGUCGUGAAAGCCCACGGCUUAACCGUGGGUCUGCGGUGGAUACGGGCAGACUAGAGGCAGGUAGGGGAGAAUGGAAUUCCCGGUGUAGCGGUGAAAUGCGCAGAUAUCGGGAGGAACACCGGUGGCGAAGGCGGUUCUCUGGGCCUGUACUGACGCUGAGGAGCGAAAGCGUGGGGAGCGAACAGGAUUAGAUACCCUGGUAGUCCACGCCG